rnacentral:rRNA from 1 species
AGUGAACGCUGGCGGUAGGCCUAACACAUGCAAGUCGAACGGCAGCACAGUAAGAGCUUGCUCUUACGGGUGGCGAGUGGCGGACGGGUGAGGAAUACAUCGGAAUCUACUUUUUCGUGGGGGAUAACGUAGGGAAACUUACGCUAAUACCGCAUACGACCUACGGGUGAAAGCAGGGGAUCUUCGGACCUUGCGCGAUUGAAUGAGCCGAUGUCGGAUUAGCUAGUUGGCGGGGUAAAGGCCCACCCAGGCGACGAUCCGUAGCUGGUCUGAGAGGAUGGUCAGCCACACUGGAAGUGAGACACGGUCCAGACUACUACGGGAGGCAGCAGUGGGGAAUAGUGGACAAUGGGCGCAAGCCUGAUCCAGCCAUACCGCGUGGGUGAAGAAGGCCUUCGGGUUGUAAAGCCCUUUUGUUGGGAAAGAAAAGCAGCAGGUUAAUACCCCGCUGUUCUGACGGUACCCAAAGAAGAAGCACCGGCUAACUUCGUG